rnacentral:rRNA from 1 species
AUUGAACGCUGGCGGCAGGCCUAACACAUGCAAGUCGAACGAGUGGCGGACGGGUGAGUAAUGUCUGGGAAACUGCCUGCUGGAGGGGGAUAACUACUGGAAACGGUAGCUACUACCGCAUACCAUCGGAUGUUCCCAGAUGGGAUGAGGUAGUAGGUGGGGUAACGGCUCACCUAGGCGACGAUCCCUAGCUGGUCUGAGAGGAUGACCAGUCACACGGGAACGGAGACACGGUCCAGAAUCCGACGGGAGGCAGCAGUGGAGAAUAUUGCACAAGGGGCGCAAGCCUGAUGCAGCCAUGCCGCGUGUAUGAAGAAGGCCUUCGGGUUGUAAAGGACUUUCAGCGGGGAGGCGUUACCCGCAGAAGAAGCACCGGCUAACUCCGUGCCAGCAGCCGCGGUAAUAC